UGUGUGUGGCUCCCUUUGUCCAGCAGUGGGCAGUAGUGCACUCCAUCUCAUGCAUUGCUGCCCAAUUGCAUGCAAGUAACUGUAUGCUCAUGAAAUAUAAACUAAAGUUAGUGUUUGUAAUAUUAUAUGUUUUGGAAUAUAUUUGUGUGGCUGUCUAUUUGAAUAUUUAAGUAUUGUUAGAUUGUAAAGUAUUGUAAAGCAUAUGGUGAUAUAAUGUUUAUAAGGUGCAUCUGUUUGUUUGAAAUGACAUUGUCAAAUAAUAUUGUGUGUGUAUGUGUGUGUGUGUGUGUGUGUUUGUGUUUCUUCGUGUGUUUUUGUGUGUAGCGGUUAUGACCCCCUGUGUUCCCCCCUGUCAGCAUGGAGGCACCUGCUCUCCUCACAACAUCUGUAGUUGCCCCCAUGGCACCAACGGGGGGCGCUGUGAGAAGCUUAUAUGUCCCGUGAUGACUAUGGUGGUCAGUACCACACGAGGAGUCAGAAAACCAACCAGGGAGAGCUAUAUGGACCGCUGUGGACCACUAGGAGUGCAUCUCUGCACCAAAUACAGGAUAAAUCAGGCACGGGUUUACUUGCAAGCCUACAGAGUGGGAUACAAGAUCCAGUGUCCAGAGAAAGGAGGAUGAGCCUAAAGAUGUAUUUACUAUUGUUAUAUGCCUUAAUACAGUGGUUCCCAAACUUUUUACAGUCCCGUACCCCUUCAGACAUUUAAUCUCCAGCUACGUACCACCCCCCACCCCUGGGGGUACGCGUACCCCAGUUUGGGAACCGAGGCCUUAAUACAACCCCCCCAAACACAUACAUACACACACACACACACAUAUACACACACACACACACACACACACACACACAGUCUUACACUACACACCCAAAGAACAUGACAACAACAGAGUUUGUUAAUAAUACACGCAUGCUGUCUCUGCAUCUUUGAGAUGUGCUGAGCAAGCGCAAGAGUGAGUGCCUUUGAUCAUUUUACAUCUACACAAUAAAUACAGGUUUUUAAAAACA
rnacentral:lncRNA from 1 species